rnacentral:lncRNA from 1 species
CUGACCUCACCCAACUCUGGGAGCCAGGAUGGGCCAUUCCCCCACCUGCGUGCAGUCUCGGAGUCCCAAGACCUGGGCAGGGACCAGUAGCUCAAUGAACGCAAACCCAGCUGGUGCCAGCCUGGCGGCAAGUGGAAAAUGUCCCAGCACGUUAUGAAUGGGGUGGCCACAGGUCGGUUAGAAGCAUAGUUGUCUAUAGUGACCAAAGCUUUACAUUUGUAAUCAGCUGAAACAAUCACAUUAUUUUCCUGGGAGUGUCAUGGUUGGCCAUACAAGCUCCCCACCUCCGCCUCUGCUUUUUUGGCUGAUGACCUCACGAGCCCUGACUUCCAUCCUUCCAUCCCCGGCAGCUGCCCUCUGAUCCUUCGAGGGUUUUCCGGGCGCUCCGCAUGCAGCUCUUGGCAGAAGACACUGAGUCACAUGGCAGGUGACUGGUGUUUUCUGACUCAUGGGAUGGAAAGAAAUGCGACACAUAGCGGCAGCACAGAGGGCCUCCAUUGCCAAUUGAGGGAACCUCUCAGAUGGGAGGUGACUCAUCUGGACGGCCUGGCCUGUUCAAGUGCAGCUUCCCAGGGGACACUCACUCCCCAGGGAGGAGAGCGGCUUCUCAGAUGCAGCCCAGAGCCAGCCCUCCAGGGCAGUGGAGCCCUGGUCCACGGCAGAGAGGUGCCUAAGGCCAGCUCGGUGCAGAAGAUGCAUGCACAUCAUCUAAAGCUCCUGAGCCCCACACAGUCCCACCCUGACGCCCCCCAAAAUAAAUAG